AUCACUGCUUCUCUCUUGAGUUAUUAGUUUCAUUGUAUAGUGUGUUUCAUGGCUGCUGCAUAUUUUUAGUUGAAGCUUCCAAUUAUUUGACAGUAAAGUAAUGCUUCAUCUAAUUUCAUAAAUACUAGAAACAUUGUUUCUAAGCGGAAAAUUCUUAAUUGAUCUAUUUUCAUCGUUCAUGACAAUUAUAUCUUAUAUUCAUACUGGGCAUUUGGCACCCAUGUCAGGGUCAAAGCUACAUACAAGACUGUUUACCCCCACGGGAGACCGAAUAUCUUAGAAACAACAUCCUAAAAAUUUGGCGCCCAUGUCGUACCAACAACCGGUAGAAGCUUGCCCUGGCAGGGCCUGUACGUAGCUGAGACCCUGUGUGCUUUACUCAGGUUACCCCAAGUUGUGAACCAAAGGAAGAUAUAGGGUUAUUUCUUGGUCCAUUGUGGGCAUGAUUUAGUUUAGUUUUUGUGGUUUGCAAAGAGGAAUUUAGAUGAGUAUGUAUUUCUUGGCAAUCGGCUGCAGGUGUAUAUGCACCUUAGUUUGAGAGAUUUUUGGAUACCAAGAAGAAACUGAAGGUCGGGAGAAAUGAAGUCCUCAACCAAAUAAGAUCCUUAUAUCGUACUGCACAUGAUUAGCUCCAAAGUUGAGUUACUCAACUAUAUUUACCUAUAUGGAAAACAAUAUCGAGCAAAAAAAUUUAAAAAAUAUUUUCCUGUGUUAUGUUAUUUGUCAACAUAACCCCUGAUAUUGCGUCGUCGUCCUCACCGGAAGCAGCACCGCCUCUGCCCCGUGCGGCGUUGUCGUCCCCAUCAAGCCGCACCAGAGGGAGAUGCUUAGCUGUGGCCACACAAACGGAUGGGGACGUCAAGCCAAGCUGGUGGCUGGCGGCCUACCAUCGCGUCAACUUACACAGGAUAGGAGAGCCCUCGAAAAAAAUAACACAGGAUAGGACCAGAGGAAUCUUGAUCGCGGCAUCCAGACCUGGAGUGGAGGACAUGGGUCGCCAUGAAGCAAUUGCCCCUUCGUUGUGAAGUUGCAGCUGUGUACAGAAGCUUUUUGUGUAAAUGCCUACGACCACAGACCGCUCCUGGAAGAAUGCUCACAACUCAGCUUGAAUUUGUAAGUUAAUUGUCCUCUCAGAUGCACCCCUCUUGAUGUUUUAUAUGUUUCAACAUGGAUUCUUGGUUCCUAUAAAUUUACAGGUUAUGAUGUUGUGAUGAACUUGCAGCAAUGAAGUGAUUUGGGUAACAUCUUGCUUUUUAAAAUGACUUUCAUUUACUUCUGUGGCAUUGAAGGAGCGACACAAUUCCUCCCAACUACAGAAUUUGCAGCGGCUGAAGAUUCUAGAAGUACAGGUUAUAUUGCCUUAUGAAUUGUCUAAGGAAGUCCUAAAUUAUUUAUCUUUUGCUUCACCAAUGGUUUGUCGAACUGAAAUAGUAUGGCCAUGUGCCCAUGUUAUUUCUUUGUUUGCCCAAAUAAAUUUAACUUCCGAUCACAAAAUAAAAGAAUGUCCAUGGAUAUCUCUUCGCAUUGGUUUAAUUCUGUAUCCUGAAAUAGCUAUUGAUAAUGACUAUUGAUAAAGCUGUUAUGAACACCCUCUUAGUUACAAUCAUAUUUUGUGAAACUGCUUUUACACCAACUUUCCUAGAACUGGUAAUGAGUAUAUAUUUUUAACGCUUAAUGCAAUGCAGAUUUGUAGGGUAUCAAAAAAGAAAGGUAUUGUUAGUUAUAUUCUGUUGUAGUAAUGUAGUGCCCGGAAUUAGAUGUACCAUAUUCUCAUUAGCUUUGCCCUAAAUAAGAACUAUUAGAAAGGUUUGGGUGUUACUUCAGUUACAAUUUACACUGUCUUCCUUUAUAAAAUAUGUAUCUUAUGUCUUGCACUAUUGUUCCUUUCUUCAGAGAUAAAAUGCUUCAUGUGAUGAGUGGUGUAAUUAAAUUGGAGAGAAACAUGAAGAAGUUUGAUGGCACCCAUUCUUAGGUUGAAAAUUGAAUGUCCGAUCCAUUACUUGCUCUUUUUUGCUUUAUCACUUUAUUAUGUAGUUCCUGAUUUUGGAAGAUGUAUUAUCUGGUCAUCGCUUGCAUUUGACUACAUUUGUGCGAUUUGUAAUGUAAUUCAUCCAGUAUACGGGUUAUACAUUUGGUAGCAAAUUUGAAUUUUCUUGGAUAUACAUAUAUCUGAUUUAUUCAUUUGGUUUAGAGUCCAA